AGGAAUUUAUUAUUAUUAAAACCCACCAUGCUUAAUUUUACUUUUGAAGUUGAAGCUUUCCUCAUAUAAGUUGAAGCUUUAUUUUUAAUACAAACGAUAGGACGUUCAAACAAGGAAGAUAUUAUUAAUUCCAUGCAGUCAUUGCUAAUUACAAUUUUUAGAAAACUGAAUUAGAAAUCCUUCAGACAGAUUCAUGGGUAGGUCUCACUUUGUUGAAAUCAAUGACAACCAAUUCUUGAUUUGAAGUUUCUUUUACAGAAUCCAUUUCUAAAGCUUCCUUUUCAUUGGCUGAAGUAAAUGGAGAUUGAUCCUUGCUCUUACCCCACAAAACUAGAUAUAGCCCAAUGAUUAUGGCUACUGCUCCAACAACCCUACAACAACAAUACAUCAUUCGAUUUCAACUUUUAAUCCACUUGGGGUUAAGCAAAUAUGACAAGAGAGAACAUAUUUCAAUUGAUAAGGAGAAAGCCUUACCUUCCUAAAUAGACAAUCUCUGAUAAGACAAAGGACCCCAAGAUUGUAAUAAUAACCAUGCUUAAAGGAUUGAAGGCAGUGACAAAGACAGGACCUUUACUCUUCAUUACCACUCCUUGCACAUAAUAAGUAACUCCUGAACAAACUACUCCCUGCAUCCAAAUUCCAUUCAAUAGGUAAUAAAAUGAAAUGGGUAAAUCUUUAAAAAGAAAAAAAAAUUAUAAAUUUCAAGCAGAAAUGCCUUUGAAGUAUUGAUUACUUACACCAUAAACAGCAGCUAACAACCUAGAAUCAAAGUUUAUAGACCAAGCAGAGGGAUUUCUCCUUUCCAUUAUGAGAGCAAAUAUGGAUCCUUCAAUAGUGCCCAUCAAGCAUAUCAAAGCUGUUAGGGAGAGCUGAGCAGGGUAUGUUUUUAGUGUUAUUGCCUGUAAAUCACCCAUUACUGUUAGAACCUAUAUAGACUUUUAACUCAUUGAUAUUGGUCAUCUCGAGUUUGAAUCUCAGUCGGAGUAAAUUGUAUAAGAAAAACUUUACUUUAGAAGAAAUAAUUCUAAAAAAUAUUAAAUUUAAAAAGAUAAUUUUUUCAAUAAAAUCAUUUUUUUAAAAAAAAAAGAGUAAUCGAAACCAUGCUAGCUCAAUUAUUCAAAUUUGCACAGCGAAGUGUUUCUUCCAAAUUUUAGAAGUGCUCCACACCUAGUAUUCAAAUUAGAGAAUUUGUGUCGAACCCAUUUCAACUCUUGAGUUGAGAAAACUAUCAAAUGUAUUGCAAGUAAAAGGAGUAUAUAUAUAAUUAACUAAUUACCUGAAGGAUGAUGAAACUAGACCAGCAUAAGCAGCCUACUCCAAUCAUAAUAGCACCCUUAAUGGGAUCAUCAUGUGUGGUUAGAUCACUGGUAGAUCCAUGAUACUCAUGUCCUUUUGUCCAUGGCAAAUCCAGCUUUGCCCCUUUAAAUAGAGUCAUUACCAUUGCUCCUCCCACAGUCACUAGAGUCCCCAAUAUCUUUGCCUGGCUAUGCAAUUUCCUCAAAUUAACCUUCUCAAGCCUGCACCCAACAAAAGAAAGCAUGAGAGGAAAAUCAAAUUCACUAUAUAAGAAAAAGUAGGAAAUAGAAAGCGAGAUUCGAUUCUCAUGAAUAGAGUAAAUAUACGCCGAGAGUAUUUUACCCUUUUACUAGAUUAACCCGGUGCGAGUAGAAUAACCGUGGUAACACUAAAAAAAGAUGGGUGAUAGGGAGUUGUUAAUUACCUGAAGGCCCAAGCCAUAAGAAAUGCUAUGGCAGGGAGAAUAUUGCACAUAGUAGAAGCAAAAGUUGCUGUGGUGUACUUCAUGCCAGUAUAAAACAAGUUCUGGUCAAUAGUUGGCCUGCAAACCAUUCUCUACUUAAGUUAAAUACAUAAACACAUGAAAUAAAAUAAUAUUUGAAGGACAUCAUUAAGGUUUUACAAGAUUCUCACUCUAACAAGCCUAGCAACAGUAUCUUAGCAAAGAUAGAGACUGUCAUCUUUGGCCUCACCUUCCUGUGACACCAAAAGUUAAUGAAAUCAAUGUGAAUAAUAAGAAGAUUGCAUGAAACCCACAAAAGAGAGAGAGAGAGAGAGAGACCUAUCAAAAAUAAUGGCAAAGGGAGAAAUUACAAGGGUGGCAACAACAUGCCUAUAGACCACCAAUACAUGUUGACUCAUCCCUUUAUUUAGAGCAAACUUUGAAAUUAUGGACAGCCCCACAUACCCAAAUUGCAGAACAAUCACAGCCAAAAAUGGCUUGGCUUUUUCACAAAACUUACCCCUGGACUCCAUACCCUUCUUCUUAUAUUCUUCCAAUUCUAUUUAUAUCUUUCUCAACCUCUCUUCAGAAUUCUCAACCUCUCUUCAGAAUCUUGUUAUGUAAAUGAAGAGGCAUGGCUACUAAGUGUGUGUGUAUAUAUACUGGAAUAAAAUACAAUGCCAAGAUGUCUUAGUUUGAAGCAUAGGAACUCCACUAUAGGUAACCAAGACUGAGAGAAUACUAAAAAGAAAAAAACAUUUGAAUCCAACAUCAAGGGAUAAGAAAUAUGGUACAUUUAUGUAAAAAAUAAUACAUAUAUUCUUUUAUUUUAAAAAUUUAUUUAAUAAUUUAAUCUACUAAGUGUCGAUAUGAGUGAUUUGAUACUUUUCGCUCUUUAAUAAAUUGAGAGUUUGAUCUUCGUAAAAAAAAUAAAUAAUUAAUCGUUGAGAGCACCUUACUCUUUAAUGAACUAUUUCAGUGCGAACCGAACAAUACUUGUAAUUAUAUAUAUUGUUAGACUUUUAUCUAACUAAAUUUGAAAACACUAUAAUUUUUAAGUUUGGUAUAAUCAAAACAUAUAGAUUAUUAAAAUAUUUAUAUUUAAAAAUGGAGAAGUAAGUGUUAAUUCUAAUUUAAUAUAAGGUGGAAAAGUUAUAAUAUAAUAAUUUUAAAGAGUAUUUUGAUAAUUUGUUGUGUAAAUUAUUGAGUUUUAAAUAUAUAUAUAUAUAUAUAUAUAUAUAUUUAUUAAUCUUGAUAAAACUCAUAAUAAAAAAAUAAUCUCCACAAAAAUAUCAGACAGCAUUGUUUAAUUUGCCGAGUAAAGUAGGCUGCUUUUCCGGAAAAACAAAAAAGUAGGCUGAUCUCGCCAAAUAAUAAAAUAUUGUCUGCGAAAGUGGUUGCUUGCAGGGGUGAUCAUUCGGUAAUUGAAUUAGUAUUCUGUCAGUUAAAUUUAAAAUUAAAGUGAUUUAGUGUUUGUUGACUUUAAUUUACAAUUACGGAAUUAAAUAAAUUAAAAAUUAAAAAUUAAAAAUUUAAUAUUUAUAAAAAUUAAAUUAAAUUAAUUUUAAUUAAAAAUUAAAUUCACUGAUUUAAUUUAAUUUGAUGAAUCUAAAUUUUUAAUAAAUUUUUUAUUUUUUAUAUUUUAUUUUUAAUAUUUUAAAAUUUAAUUAAAAUAUUUAAAUUUUAAUUAUAUAAUCUAAUUUCUCUAUAUUAUUAUCAUUAAUCAAUUUAAUUUAAUUUUUUAUUUUUUUAUAAUUAAAAUUAAAUUAAACUGAAAUAAAUAAAAUUUUUAAAAUUAAAAUAAAUAAAAAAUGAAAUUAAAAUUUUAAAUUAAUUUAAAAUGAAUACUGCUUCUUAAUGUUGGCUUUGUUUUAUUCAAUAUUUCAAUGACAAAUUCUUUUUUUUUUUUUAAAUAGCAUUCAUGGCAUAAAAGAAGAACUCAACCCAUUACAACAAAUAAAGGCUUGGAUUAAAAAAAUAAAAUUGAAGGCCCAAAAAAAUUACAACUAGCUUAAGGCCCACCCUAGGAGCUCUAGUUUUAGAAACAGCAUCAGAGGACUAAUGCUGCUGCACUUUAGAUUCAAUCCGAUGGUGGACAUUAUUUGGUUUAAACACAAAAAAUUAAUCGAAUUAAAGUAAUUUGAAAUUUUAAUUUAAUUUUUAUUUAUUUUAAUUUAAUUAUUAAUUUUAAAAUUUUAAUUAUUUCAAUAAAAUUAAAUUGAAAUAAUUACUGAUAAUAAUAUAUUAUUUCUUAUAAUAUCGAGAGAUUAAAUUAUAAUUAAAAUUGAAAUAUUUUAAUUAAAUUUUAGAAUGCUAAAAAUAAAAUAUAAAAAUUUAAUGGAAUUAAAUUAAAUCGAUUUGAUUUAAAUCGAUUUAUAUUCAAAAUUGAUUCAAUUUAAUUUUUAUAAAUACUAAAAUUAUAAUUUUUAAUUUAUUCACUUCAAUUUAAUUUUGAAUCGAAUCGAUGAAUUGUUAACCUUAUAUAGAGCCUUGAUAGAGAAAAACAUACUUAGAAAAAUCAAAACCAACACAUAAAUACUCUAGAUGUGCACAUAUGAUCAAACCCCAAACAGAUCCAAGCCACCCAUCAUCCAACGCAUUAAGGAGGGAAACAAGCAACGUUUAAUAAGAGUUUAAACUGGAUAAAUGGAAUAAAAUACAAUUGACAUGAAUCCACUGCCAUGACCAUGAAUCAAAGAUUUGUCGGCCUUUAACUUUUUUAUUUUGAUAUGAAGCUGACUUGAUAAGAUGGAGUAGACAACCAUUUGAUUUCCACUUCUUGAAAUUGUUUUCAUUUGUGCAAAAUUAUAUUGGAUUUGUUUACUUGUAAAAAUGAAAAUGUUAAAUUAUAUACCUAUUAUUAUUAUUAUUAAUAUAUUUUUUACGUUUAGAAAUUAUUGCAUCAAUAUUUUAUACGAUAUUUAAAAGUUAUCUCUUUUUAUUAAUAAUUUAAUUAUUAUCGAUAUUUUUAAUAAUAUUUUAAGAGAUUAUUAUUUUUUAUUAAUGACGUAUUAUUAUAAAUAUCAUUUUAAUAUAAAUUGAAUACUUUAAAAUAAAAAAUUAAAUAAAAAUAAGUAAUAGUUUUUUCAUUUUACCCUUAAUUUUCAUACAAUAGAUAGGACGUUCAAGCAAGGAAGAUUUGGAAAUUGAAAAACAAGGGCAGCUGCAUGGAAGUUGGAUAAUUAUUAAUUCCAUGCAGUCAUUGCUAAUUACACUUUUUUUGAACACUGAAUUAGAAAUCCUUCAGACAGAUUCAUGGGCAGGUCUCACUUUGUUGAAAUCAAUGGCAACCGAUUCUUGAUUUGAAGUCUCUUCUAUAGAAUCCAUUUCUAAAGCUUCCUUUUCAUUGGUUGAAGUAAUUGGAGAUUGAUCCUUGCUCUUACCCCACAAAACUAGAUAUAACCCAAUGAUUAUGGCUACUGCUCCAACAACCCUACAACAACAAUACAUCAUUCAUAAGAAAUUUAAAUUCACACUUAAAAAAAUUUUCUAUGAACAUUUUAUUAAAAAAAUUAUUUAGAUUUGAACUCUGUCUUUUACGUAUUUAAAAAGUAAA
rnacentral:lncRNA from 1 species